AUUCAGCUGAUGAGUCCCGAAUAGGACGAAAUGCGCGUCCUGGAU
rfam:Schistosoma curassoni strain Dakar, Senegal genome assembly, scaffold: SCTD_scaffold0009810